rnacentral:rRNA from 1 species
CAAAGGCCCCAAAGGAAGCCACGGUUAACUCUGUGCCAGCAGCCGCGGUAAUACAGAGGUGGGGAGCGUUGUUCGGAAUUAUUGGGCGUAAAGAGCACGUAGGUGGAUUUGUAAGUCAGAUGUGAAAGCCUUCUGUUCAACGGAAGAAUUGCAUCUGAAACUACGAAUCUUGAGUAUAGGAGGGGAGAGUGGAACUUCUGGUGGAGCGGUGAAAUGCGUAGAUAUCAGAAGGAACGCCGGCGGCGAAAGCGACUCUCUGGCCUAUUACUGACACUGAGUGUGCGAUAGCUAGGGGAGCAAG